rnacentral:rRNA from 1 species
UACGGGGGGGCAAGCGUUGUUCGGAAUUACUGGGCGUAAAGGGCGCGUAGGCGGCCUUCUAAGUCGAACGUGAAAUCCCUGGGCUCAACCCAGGAACUGCGUCCGAUACUGGAAGGCUUGAAUCCGGGAGAGGGAUGCGGAAUUCCAGGUGUAGCGGUGAAAUGCGUAGAUAUCUGGAGGAACACCGGUGGCGAAGGCGGCAGUCCUGGACCGGUAGUGACGCUGAGGCGCGAAAGCCAGGGGAGCCAAAGCGGG